GAUUAACGCUGGCGGGCGUGCCUAACACAUGCAAGUCGAACGAGGUAGCAAUACCUAGUGGCAGACGGGUGAGUAACGCGUGGUCAACCUACCGUUGAGUGGGGGAUAACUAGCCGAAAGGUUAGCUAAUACCGGCAUACGUCUCCGAGGGGCAUCUCUUGGCGAUAAAAGGAGCAAUCCGCUCGAUGACGGGACCGCGUCCCAUUAGCUAGAUGGUGGGGUAACGCCUACCAUGGCACCCGAUGGGUAGCUGGUUUGAGAGAGCGACCAGCCACACUGGGACUGAGAAACGGCCCAGACUCACGGGAGGCAGCAGUGAGGAAUUUUCCGCAAUGGGCGCAAGCCUGACGGAGCGACGCCGCGUGUGGGAAGUAAGGCC
rnacentral:rRNA from 1 species